CUUUUUCUCGAUCCCGAUUCCCUCGUUACAUAUUUUUACACUUCAUUAUCCAUUCGAUUUGCACCUACUUAUCUCGAAUAAACGCAUUAAUAUCGAUACGGUAGAACGGUUCUCCGUGUACACGUUCAGGGACGAGUAGAAGAGAAAAUUCUCAAUGAUCAAAAUGAACGAGCAAACAAAAUUUAGAGAAAUUAAUUUCAAUAAUGGGAUCAAUGAGAAUCUUCUUUCGCUUUUCUUUUUUUCUUUCUUUCUUUCUUCUUUUUUUUUUCCUUUUGAAUACACGAUUAUUUUUCAUUAAAUAUCUUUUCCAAUCAAAGAGAUGGGAAGAAGAAUGGAAGCGGAGUGGAAUGGAAGUAUUCCACGUGUAAUUUCGUCGCGUCAGAAGGAUGCUUUCGGGAUUCCGCGAGAAACCCUAUCCGACCAAGUGAUGAGUCACAUGGCCUAAGUGCUAGGAUUCAAUCUGCGAAAGCUGCGUCGAAAUGCGCCUCGAACCGCGCCCAUCUUCGUUAGAACGACGUCUCGGAAAAAACUAUAUGAUCAUGCCUCCUCUCUCUCUCUUCCCUCCCUCCUCUCUCUCUUUCUUCCUUCCUUCCUUCUUUUUUUUUUUUUCUUUUUUCCUUUCCCUCCCUUCCUCCUUUUCUCGUCCCCGUGCUUUCGAAUCAAUAAUCCUGAACAAGGACUAGCCUCUUUCUUUGAUCGUAGGAAUUCAAAGGCCACCCUUUUGUCUGCAUUCCAUGCUCCGGCAAAGAGUCGUAUCCACAGAGUCGUUUCCAUCCUCUUCCGUUUUAUAACGCGAUGACACGAAUAAAUGCAUGACACGAGGAAAAAGAAAAGAUUCGAUUGGCCAAGGAUGGAGCAAGGACUCGUCGUCGUUUCUCGAAACAAUCCAAGAGAUUGGCGAUAAACCGACCUUUUAGACCAACCAGAAUGCUGGUUCACCAGAUCCAAGAUCUCGCAAGAAAAGUUCUAUUUCUGGUUCGAACAUAAAAUUUCGCACACCAUUAUUUACGUCUACUCUUCUUCUCUUCCGAUCACCGCGAACGAUUGGAAUAUCCUGUCAAGCGUGAAAACCCAUCCCCGCCAAUAUAUUUUACUCGUUGUUACUAACAACGACCAACCAAAGCGGAAUAAACACGAACGUGUGCACGCGCGCGUGCUACUCUGACAAUGGGGGAAUAUCCCCGUUGUAAAAUAAUUCUAUUGCCGUGGAUCCGUUUCGAUGAAAAGGAUCGUCAAUCAUUCCAUUAAUCGAUCCAACUAGGGUUAGAUUAGUUGGAGAAAGAGUCCACGAUUCUUCUUCGCCCUCUUCGAUUCGCAUUGCGAUCGAAUUGCGAUUAAUUUGACGUAACACAAAUUCGAAGAAUUGAAAUGGAUCGGAAAAAUUCGUAAGGAAAUAAAAUUAAUCGUUGAACCGUCUCUUCUGUGAAUUUUCAUUAAUCAAACUUUGAAAAAACCUUUGGAAA